CAGCCGCCGCGGGAAUACAGAGGGUGCGAGCGUUAAUCGGAUUUACUGGGCGUAAAGCGUGCGUAGGCGGCUUCUUAAGUCGGAUGUGAAAUCCCUGAGCUUAACUUAGGAAUUGCAUUCGAUACUGGGAAGCUAGAGUAUGGGAGAGGAUGGUAGAAUUCCAGGUGUAGCGGUGAAAUGCGUAGAGAUCUGGAGGAAUACCGAUGGCGAAGGCAGCCAUCUGGCCUAAUACUUACGCUGAGGUACGAAAGCAUGGGGAGCAAACAGGAUUAGAUACCCCUGUAGUCCCUGUCUCUUAUAC
rnacentral:rRNA from 1 species